CUGCUGCCUCCCGUAGGAGUUUGGACCGUGUCUCAGUUCCAAUGUGGGGGACCUUCCUCUCAGAACCCCUACUGAUCGUCGCCCCGGUGGGCCGUUACCCCGCCGGCAAGCUAAUCAGACGCAUCCCCAUCCUUUACCGACCGAAGCCUUUGGUCAUGAAAAUAUGCAUCAACAUGACAACAUACGGUAUUAAUCCGCCUUUCGACGGGCUGUCCCAUAGUAAAGGGCAGGUUGGAUACGCGUUACUCACCCGUGCGCCGGUCGCCAU
rnacentral:rRNA from 1 species